rnacentral:rRNA from 1 species
UACGGGGGGGGCAAGCGUUGUUCGGAAUUACUGGGCGUAAAGGGCUCGUAGGCGGCCAACUAAGUCAGACGUGAAAUCCCCAGGCUCAACCUGGGAACUGCGUCUGAUACUGGAUGGCUUGAAUCCGGGAGAGGGAUGCAGAAUUCCAGGUGUAGCGGUGAAAUGCGUAGAUAUCUGGAGGAACACCGGUGGCGAAGGCGGCAUCCUGGACCGGUAUUGACGCUGAUGAGCGAAAGCCAGGGGAGCAAACGGG